GGUCUGGUAGCGAAGUGGUUGAACGCACGGGACUGCAAAUCCCGUCCCGUAAGGGCGCCGCAGGUUCGAAUCCUGCCCAGACCUCCA
rnacentral:tRNA from 1 species